rnacentral:rRNA from 1 species
AUUGAACGCUGGCGGCAGGCCUAACACAUGCAAGUCGAACGAGUGGCGGACGGGUGAGUAAUGUCUGGGAAACUGCCUGAUGGAGGGGGAUAACUACUGGAAACGGUAGCUAAUACCGCAUACCAUCAGAUGUACCCAGAUGGGAUUAGCUAGUUGGUGGGUUAACGGCUCACCAAGGCGACGAUCCCUAGCUGGUCUGAGAGGAUGAUCAGCAACACUGGGACUGAGACACGGUCCAGACUCCUACGUGAGGCAGCAGUGGGGAAUAUGGCAACAUGGGCGCAAGCCUGAUGCAGCCAUGCCGCGUGUAUGAAGAAGGCCUUCGGGUUGUAAAGUACUUUCAGCGGGGAGGCGUUACCCGCAGAAGAAGCACCGGCUAACUCCGUGCCAGCAGCCGCGGUAAUAC